rnacentral:rRNA from 1 species
GUCUACGGCCAUGCCACCCUGAACGCACCUGAUUUUGUCUGAUCUCGGAAGCCAAGCAGGGUCAGGCCUGGUUAGUACUUGGAUGGGAGACAACCUAGGAAGACCAGGUGCUGUAGGCG